rnacentral:lncRNA from 1 species
UAGCUGGAACGAAAUGCAGAAACUACAUGCAUGAAUACUGAAAAUACUAAAUAAAGGCAAACGCGAGGACCCUAUGAGUAACGUGGGUGCGUUCGGUUGAGAUUGCUUUUCGCCUGUUAACGGCUGUU